AUGUUAUCUGAGAAGCCCUGGCACUCUCCAAGGCAAAUAACCUUGGUGUGAAGGCCCGCCGCGUUUAACUCUGUACAGGCAGACCCCAACUAACAUGGUCCCAUCCAAUAAUAUGCUUCAUCUACCAGAUUAUUGUGUUUUCACAGAACCAAGGAGAUAGGGUAUUCCUGUGAAGGAUCCAACCCUAGCCAUGGAGCCACCUAAUUGGAGACUUAGAAGGGGCCUCAAUGUCCCUCUAAUCGAAUCUGUAAAUGACAGGAAUAUUCACUAUAACAUACCUGGCCAGUGGUCAGCCAAUCUCAGCUCAAGGACUUCCAAAGAAGGAGAAACUGCUCUUCUCAAGGUACUGCACUCCUGUUCCCACUACAGAAUUGAUUCUGCACUCCAUAAGCAAUCACAAGACCCAAGACUUGAGACAAUACUGUUCACACAGGACCCAUGUGAACAGUAACUCAAGACCUAAAAAUGAUUAUGUCAUGGUCCAGCCCACUAGUGGUUUUUAUAUAUGUAAAACCUGCCUUUGGUCCAGCAUGUUAAGCCCUCCUUCUUGGGGAUCGGGGAGGGGGCGGUUUCAAUUUGCAAACUUUGUUUUCCUCACUCUAAAAUUAAUUAAACUUUUGUUUGUGUCCUGACUCUCCCGUCUCUAGCCUGCUCUGUUUUGGCAUCCCCAGGUUAGAGGCUGACUCUGGUCUAGUCUAUACCUUAUUAGAUGUUUGACCCUGUCAAGUUAUUUGACUUAUUACAGCCUCAGUCCCCUCAUCUGGAAAAGGGGGAUAAAAGUAGCAUUUACUUCACAAUCAAAUGUGAUAAUAUAUGCAAAACAUUUUGCAAACCUUAAAGAGCUCCAUAAAUGUUAUCUAUUUUUCUAAGAGGUUUCAAGACAUUAUUUCAAGUAUUCUCUUGCUGUUUACA